AUUGAACGCUGGCGGCAGGCCUAACACAUGCAAGUCGAGCGAGCAGCGGAAGGGUGAGUAAUGUAUGGGGACUGCCCGAUAGAGGGGGAUAACUACUGGAAACGGUGGCUAAUACCGCAUACUAUCGGAUAACCCAUAUGGGAUUAGCGAGUAGGUGGGGUAAAGGCUCACCUAGGCGCAGAUCUCUGGCUGGUCGGAGAGGAUGAUCAGCCACACUGGGACUGAGACACGGCCCAGACGCCUACGGAGGCAGCAGUGGGGAAUAUUGCACAAUGGGCGCAAGCCUGAUGCAGCCAUGCCGCGGGUAUGAAGAAGGCCUUAGGGUUGUAAAGUACUUUCAGCGGGGAGGCGUUACCCGCAGAAGAAGCACCGGCUAACUCCGUGCCAGCCGCGGUAAUAC
rnacentral:rRNA from 1 species